AACAUAAAGAAUAUACAUUACCUUCUUUUACCUUUCCAUCAAUUCACCCUUUCCCAUAUAUGAGAUUUUUUUUUAUUAUAACUCUCCUUAUCCUUUCCAUUUCUUAUCCUUCCAUUGAUUACACUUCUCUCACCCCAUCCAAACAAACCCUUAGGGGAAGAGUGCACUUUAUUGCAAAUCUCCAUCUGCGAUCAAUUCUUAUGAUUUUAAUCUACAUAAAGUAUUAUAAACUGCAACUUCCAUGAAUCUUCUUCAACCCAAUAAUGGAUUAGUCUAAAUAGCAAAAGCACGAAAUUUUCAUAGACUGUCGUCAGACUAUUUUCAUGGAUGAUUGGAACUUCCUAAAGCCAUCAUUUUCUUGGAUGACACAGCACCUAAUAGACUCAUGAAUUCGUUCAAUGCAAAGAAAGGCAAACCACUCAAGCUAGCUCAAUAUAUUAUAAUAUGGGAGCCUUUCCAAGCAACUUACUGAAAUAAAAAAAAAUGUUUUUACUAAUAGAGUACCCAUCAAGUAAUGAACUCAAAUUGAAAUCUUCUUCUAAUUAAGAAAUUUAUGGCUCAAAGAUAUAGUGAAAAGACGAAAGUGAAAAGACAAACUAUAACUAGACAAAAUCCAUUUUUUGUUUAUCAUAAAAGUUCAUGUUAGGAUGUGGCUUUUUGUAUUGGGAUAUAUUUGUUAUUUUGUAGGAAUUAAAAUCCAAUUUAAAAAGUCUACAAUACCAUUUAAAUUGAAAAGAUGAAUUGAAAUAAAUAUUGUAAAUUUUGUUUAUUAGAGUGAGAUUUAAAAAAUUUAUCAUAUUAGAGAGUUCGAGAGAUUAUAACUUACUUUUUUUAUUAUAAUGAACCUUGUACAAUCGAAUUAUAUAAAUAUUUUAUGUUUAUUUUUCUUAUUUUAUUUAUGUUAUGAUUA
rnacentral:misc_RNA from 1 species